AGAGUUUGAUUCUGGCUCACGCUUUAAACUGGCGGCGUGCUUAACACAUGCAAGUCGAACGCCCUUUUAUUGAAACCUAGUGAUUUAUGAGUUAGUGGCGGACGGGUGAGUAACGCGUGGAUAACCUGCCGUAUACCCCCCGGAUAACACUUAGAAAUAGGUGCUAAUACCGCAUAAGCGCACGGCUCCGCAUGGGGCAGUGUGAAAAACUCCGGUGGUAUACGAUGGAUCCGCGUCUGAUUAGCUAGUUGGCGGGGUAACGGCCCACCAAGGCAGCGAUCAGUAGCCGGCCUGAGAGGGUGGACGGCCACAUUGGGACUGAGACACGGCCCAAACUCCUACGGGAGGCAGCAGUGGGGAAUAUUGCUUAAUGGGGGAAACCCUGAUGCAGCGACGCCGCGUGAGUGAAGAAGUAUCUCGGUACGUAAAGCUCUAUCAGCAGGGAAGAAAAUGACGGUACCUGACCAAGAAGCCCCGGCUAACUACGUGCCAGCAGCCGCGGUAAUACGUAGGGGGCAAGCGUUAUCCGGAUUUACUGGGUGUAAAGGGAGCGUAUACGGCAGCACAAGUCUGGAGUGAAAUCCCGGGGCUUACCCCCGGAUCUGCUUUGGAAACUGUGCGGUUGGAGUGCAGGAGGGGUAAGCGGAAUUCCUAGUGUAACGCUGAAAUGCGUAUAUAUUAUGAGGAACACCGGUGGCGAAGGUGGCUUACUGGACUGUAAUUGACUUUAAGGUCCAAAACGUGGGGUAGCAAUCAGAUUAAAUACCCCUGGUACCCCCGUCGUAAACUUAUGAAUUACUAGGGUCCGGGGAAACCUACGUCCUUCGGUGGCCCGCCGCAAUU
rnacentral:rRNA from 1 species